rnacentral:rRNA from 1 species
AACGGCCGCGGUAUUUUAACGUGCGAAGGUAGCGUAAUCACUUGUCUUUUUAAAUGAAGACCUGUAUGAAUGGCAUCACGAGGGCUUAGCUGUCUCCCAUCUCCAGUCAAUGAAAUUGACCUCCCCGUGCAGAGGCGGGGAUGACUACAUAAGACGAGAAGACCCUAUGGAGCUUUAGACCUAAAGUAAGUCACGUUUAAUAUGCUAUGAUAACAGCGAAAACUUAGUGAUAUUUACUGAAGUGUCUUUGGUUGGGGCGACCGCGGGGUAAAACACAACCCCCAUGUGGACCGGGGAUAUUAUCCCUAAUACUCAGAGCCUCUACUCCAAGGUUAACAGAAAUUCUGACUUUUCUGAUCCGGUAUAACCGAUCAACGAACCGAGUUACCUAGGGAUAACAGCGCAAUCCCCUCUCAGAGCCCAU